rnacentral:rRNA from 1 species
CGGAUUCAUUGGGCGUAAAGGGUGUGUAGGCGGAAGCGUAAGUACCUUGUGAAAUCCCACGGCUCAACCGUGGAACUGCUGGGUAUACUGCGUUUCUUGAGCCAUUUAGGGGCGAGUGGAACGGAUGGUGGAGCGGUGAAAUGCAUAGAUAUCAUCCGGAACGCCUGUGGUGAAGACGACUCGCUGGGAAUGUGCUGACGCUGAGACACGAAAGCCAGGGGAGCAAACGGG